AAGUCGUAACAAGGUAUCCGUAGGUGAACCUGCGGAUGGAUCAUUAUCACGUAUCCACGUAUCAACCAUUGUGAACUGUACCUACCUUUGAAAGGAGUAUGAGUGAUAAGAGUUUUUUUUGUGUAACAACGAGAAAAGCUUUUCCUUUCAGAGUGUAUUUUUAUCACUUUAAUUAACAAUUUUAACUAAUUAUUAUACUUUUUGUCUGAUAUUAUUUCUUACUCUCUCGGGAGAAGAAAUUCAUUACGAAACAAAGAACAACUCUUAGCAACGGAUAUCUUGGUUCUC
rnacentral:misc_RNA from 1 species